rnacentral:rRNA from 1 species
GAUGAACGCUGGCGGCGUGCCUAAUACAUGCAAGUCGAGCGAACGGACGAGAAGCUUGCUUCUCUGAUGUUAGCGGCGGACGGGUGAGUAACACGUGGAUAACCUACCUAUAAGACUGGGAUAACUUCGGGAAACCGGAGCUAAUACCGGAUAAUAUUUUGAACCGCAUGGUUCAAAAGUGAAAGACGGUCUUGCUGUCACUUAUAGAUGGAUCCGCGCUGCAUUAGCUAGUUGGUAAGGUAACGGCUUACCAAGGCAACGAUGCAUAGCCGACCUGAGAGCGUGGUGGGCCACACUGGAACUGAGACACGGUCCAGACUCCUGCGGGAGGCAGCAGUAGGGAAUCUUCCGCAAUGGGCGAAAGCCUGACGGAGCAACGCCGCGUGAGUGAUGAAGGUCUUCGGAUCGUAAAACUCUGUUAUUAGGGAAGAACAUAUGUGUAAGUAACUGUGCACAUCUUGACGGUACCUAAUCAGAAGGCCACGGCUAACUACGUG